AACCUUAUCACUUAUAGGAAGAAGAAGUCGUAACAAGGUUUCCGUAGGUGAACCUGCGGAAGGAUCAUUC
rnacentral:rRNA from 1 species